UCUCUCUUCUUUAUCUUUAUCUCAUCUUUAGGGUAAUCCCAAUGUCUCUUAUUUCUCUCUUCUUUUACCUGAGAAUCCUUUCAGAUCUCAUCCAAUCUAUAUAUUUUCUUCUCUUUCGCCUGAGAAUUGUGUUUUGAUACCUUUUUUUACAUGGCAGAUUGGUCAUUUAUUGGGAGAACUUAAAAAGAUAAAAUAUUUCUCCCAAAAGAAAAAGAAGUUAAAAUGGAUCAACUUUUGUCUGAACAACAUAAAAGGCUAAAGUAAAGAUGUGUUCAAAGGAAGCUGCCUGCAGAUGGAAACACAUUAUAUGUGGAAGGUAUAUAUUAAUGAUCAAGUUAUCAUGAAAACACACAUAAAGUACAUUGAUUUUGUGAAUGUUGUUUUUUACCAAUUUGAAAUUUACCAUUCAAAUAAGAUAUUGCAAUUUAUAGUUAAGUUUGAUAGGUUCGAACUGAUAAGGCUGAGGGACCUAGAAGAUGGUGUUGAUACCCUAUUACAGUUUAAUGAUGGUUUUGCUAAUGUUUAUGUGUCAAGUUUUGAUAAGGGAUCAAGUUUUGGUGGUAGUGUAGAUAUUCAAUAGUGAUUGGACUGAUUUUAAGGGUUCAAUGGACUUUUGAAAGGCCUCUGAUGACUCUUACUACUGUAAACAAAAAUGGAAAUCCCAUGGAAAUCGCCCUGGUUCAAAUUUAUGGAUGGGUUGCUAAGGGUGAUGAUUAUACAACAUAAAGUGCUUGGGAGAAUAUCUACAAGAGAAGGGGAGGUGCUAAAGACUAUCUCAACUCAGAUCUUAUUAAAGAAAGAAAACACGGGGUAGUGAGGAACUUGUACCAAAUCUGGUGAAUGAAAAUGACAUGUAAAAUAAAAAAAUUGAAUGAGAUACAAAAAUAAAAGUGUAUUAAAAAAUGAAUAUCCAUCACUCAUUAUUGAAAAGAAAAAUGAUAUGGUGGACUGGAGCUAUGCACUUUACCAGGAACUACAACUAGUUAGCGUGGUCUGAAUAAUCACCUCCAAAGAAAGAAACACAAGUCCAAGGAAGACGCUUUGUGAGGAUCGAUGGAUGGGAAUAUGUACAGUCAAGAAUGAAACUUUCACCAAGAACUACUGAAGUUAAAAUAAGCAAUCAAGCUAAGACGAAAAUUUUUGAAGUUAAACUUGUAUCCUAUGCAUUCUGUUUGUGGUUUUGGUUACAUCAAUUGCAGUAGAAAAAAAAAGGCAUGGGAUUUUUGCUCAACUUCAGACUUUUUUGUUUCCACUACUAUUGACCUGAUCAUAACCAAAAAGAGAAGGCAUGAGAUGCAAGUUUAACUUCAAAAAUAUUCACCUUGGCUUGAUCCCUUAUUUUAACUUCAGCAGUUCUUGGUGCAAGUUUCAUUCUUGAUUGUACAUCUUCCCAUCCCUCGAUGCUCGCAAAGCGGCUUUCUUAAAACUUGUGUUACUUUCUUUGGAGGAGAUCAUUGAUACUAUGCUAACUAGUCCCUGUUACCUAGAAAAGUGUACAGCUCCAGCCAACUAUACCAUUUUUCUUUUCAACAACGACUGAUGGAUUUUUAUUUUUAGAUACACUUUUAUAUUUUUAGCUUAUUUAAAUUUUUCAUUUUUCAAGUCAAUUUCAUUAGCCAUAUUAGCAAGAAGUUCCUUUCUUGCUACCCUAUAUUUUUUCUUUAAAAAGGUAUGAGAUGAUAUAGUCUUCAGUAACUCUCCAUUCUCGCAGAUAUUCUCCUACAUCAGGUUCUGCUAUUUAAUCAACAUUUUGAGCCACCCAUUUAUAUAAAUUUGGACUAGGGGAAUUUCUAUUGGUUUGCCAUUCUUGUUUUUUGCACUGUGAGGAUUUUAAGGCUUUCUCAAACUCCGUUGCACCAUUAAAACUAGUCCAAUCACUAUUGAAUAUCUACACUGCUAUCAAAUAUUGAUCCCUUCUCUAAACUUGAUGCAUAAACAUGAGCAAAACAGUCAUUAAAUUAUAACAGGGUAUCAUCACCAUCUUUAUGAUCCCUCAGUUUGGAACUAUCAAAUUUAACUGCAAAAUGCAGGCUCUUGUUUGAAGGAUUAAUCCCUAAUCAAUAAAGAACCGCAUUCACAAAGUCAUCGCACUUAAUAUGUCUUAUCAUGAUAAGUUGAUUGGUAAUACAUACCUACCACACAUGAAAGUGGAUCCAUCUAUCUGGACAUACCUUAUUAUUCCUACUCCAUCAAUGUCAAACAACAUUCUAUCUUCAGUUCCCAUAUUGAAGUAGCGUACAAAACUAUGGAGGUCAAAAGAGAUGGCUGAUCUGAUUUGCAAUAUGACGAUUCUACGCGACACCGUGCAAAAAAUUCAAACGCAGAUUAAUGAACUAUAGUGGGAGUUGGGCACCACGAGAGCAAGGAUACUUCAUGAAAUUCGAAGGAUGAGGAGGGCCCUGUUGUUAUCGGUUGACGAUUGACCAAUUGACAAUAUUAUUAAUAAUAAUAAUAAUGAUAACAUUAAUAAUGAUAAUAAUAAUUAGGUUAUUUUUUUCUUUUAGCGUAUGUAUUUUGUUUUAUUUAUAUCGGAUCAACCUAAACCUAAUGCAAUGUAUGUUUUGUUUUAUUUUGUAUUUUAUUUUUGUAUGUAAAGAAUUAAAAAAACUAUGUUUGG